rnacentral:lncRNA from 1 species
UGAUUCUCUGAUGCUGAUGCAUUAACAAUUCUGUCAGACGAAAUAUGCAUGCAUGAUGCAACAAUUUAUAUGUGUCUACAUUUAGAUUUUAUCCCAAAAAAACUUAAAUAAACGAAUAGUAAUGAUAUUAAAACACUUCUGAACCCACCUAGGCCAAACAUAUUUGGAAAAGAAUUUGGCUUGAGUGAUGUUCUGGUGGAGUUUUAUGGUGAGAUGAGUAUUUGUUAUUCCUAGAUAAUUAAUCUCAAGAUAAAAAAUGGAUUCUAUCUUUCUCUUUUCUCACUUGUACGGAUUUUUUAUAAGUACAAUAAACAAAUUACAUGUAUCUUUCAUUUGUUUGAACACGUACGUACAUAUUUGCAGGCCAUCAAUUCGAGGAUUAGCACUGAUAUGAGUAUAAUGGAUGUUACCUCACUUAUUAUGAUAUUUAUAAGUAAAAUAAACAAACUACAUCUCUAAUUCAAUUGGAAUAUGAACUAUCAGCCUUCUUGAGGAAGAAAAAACUGAAGUUAUAAAUGUUGCACAAUUAAAAAAAAAAGCAAUAAGUAUGUUUCUAAACCAAACCGAUUGAUUUUAACUUUAAUGCUUGACAGCUUGAGACAUGAAACUAAUUACGAGAUGGAUAAGGAUCGUAAAAUGAAAAGGAUUUUGCCUCGCUGCCUACAUUUGUGGGAUUUCAAUUAUAGAAAGAAAUAAAACGGAAGGGGUCCAGCAACGUUACCCCUUUUUUUGUCUUUUCUUAACCCACCAUUCAGAUCUAACCUAAAAAUAGUUUUUAUUUUAUUUUUAUUAAUGUCCAAACAAAAAAAUUAUUAUAAAAGGGUAAUAUUGUAAAAGUAAGCCAAAAGAAAUAAAAAGUAAUGGUAGGGAUAUCAAUACUUUAACGGCAAGGAUGUUUCGAGGUAUUUUUAAAAAUACGGAGACUAAAUGGAUACUAAUCUUAAAAUACGGGGACUAAAUAAGCUUUUACCCCCGCAUUCUUCUUAACUUUUAUGAAAAUAUUUUAUUUACUAAUAAUGAAAAAUAAUUUUUUUUGUUUAUUUAUUUAAAUUUAUUGUAAAUUAGAAAAUUUCAGAAUUUGUUGAUCCACUUGAAAUCCAAACACGUAAAGGGUAAAAAUGUCAAAUCAUAAGAAGCAAUGCACUACCAUAGGAACAUAAAAAGAGGUUUUACGUACCUCGCUGAAAAAUUCUUGGCACUUUGCCAUUUUUUAGCCCAAAAACAAUAUUGCUGCUUACACUUGUGGGGAUUCGAUUAUAGAAAUAAAUUAGAAGAUAGACCCCAUAUGCUUGCCGUGAAAGAAGGAAAAUGGAAAAAAAAGAAAAAGAAAAAGAAAAUAGUUGAUUUAACACGUGCAAUUGCACAUCCACAAUGUAAAAUGGACAAUUUAUUACCAUAAAUAUACUAAAUUGUAACAUCAUUAAAUAUAAAUUAUGAUAAUUAGAGAAAAAAAAAGCCUGAUCUAAUGCUUGCAGUUACGUAUCCACAAAACAAUUCUAUCAAUAAAAAUUUGCUACGCGCAGAUCGAAUUUCUACUGUAGUUUUCUCGCUUAAUAAAACCUUCGAUCAUAUUCACACCUCAAAAUCCAGGAAGAAAAAGACGGGCAAUAAUGCGACGAUCAAUGAAUAAGGUUUAAUUUGUUAGCUGCGUACGUGAUGUGUGAUAUAGACUUGUUGACAGCUGGUGCUUAUAAGGAAUCCUGCUUGCUUGCACCACAUGCCAAUGCCCACCAGAACACAGAAGAAAAAAAAAUAUCGGAAAGUGGAGACCACCGACGCAGCAUUACAUCACAACAAAUUAAAAAGAGAGAAGCCAAUUUAGUAACUCCAUAGGAAAACAAGGCCGUACAUAUCAUGAAAAUGAUAUUCAUUCACAAGCGUCUCAGAAUGGUUAUCGUAAAAAUGGUAAAAUUAUUAUUAUUUUUAAUUAUUAUUUCAAUUAACAGAAAUACCAUAUCUUAUAUACUAUAUGUCACAGACACAGCAAAGCAUCAAAAUAUUCAAAACCAUUUUCUUAGUUCUUUAGCAGAAGGAGUUAUUAAAUAAUGAACUGCUAAACCAUAUAUAAAAAUAAAAGGCGCGCAUUAGUUCCAUUAGUUUCACUUGUGAGACUGAGACCCAAAAAGAAAUAUGGAACAGGGAAGAAAGAGAGUGAGCCCCGUAUCAGUCUUCUUCGCUUUCUUCUGUUUUCUUCUCCUUCGUCUUCUUUGCUUUUCAGGAUCAGCCGAAGCUUACAAGAACUACACAGUUGGUGACUCAUUGGGAUGGUAUGACAGUCAAGAGAAACCUGCUGUUGAUUAUCAGCAAUGGGCUGAUGCCAAAAACUUUAGCUUGGGAGAUUUUCUCAGUAAGAUUAUUCUCUCAGUAUACUUAUGAUCUUAUAUAUUAAUUAAUUUUGGUACUUGUUUUAACUUUUUACAGCAUGGAACCCAGUUGCUUUUGAUUUUAUGUGUGAGUUUCUAUUUUCAGUGAUGUUUGAAAUUUGUGAAUCUUGGGUCAGUAUCUAAACCCAUAUAAAGGAAAUUGAUACUAUUUUACAAUUACUGAGUGAGCUAAACAGAAGCUGCUGCUCGGUAAUUAGUUCACCAAAAAAAAAGGGGAUUGUAGUAUAAUUACCCUUUAAGGACGUUUGAUGAAAAUACUUGCACAAAGUAAUCGCCAUUAUCUUUAUCUCAUAUAUACUUGAAGGAGAUUGAAUAUAGAAAAGUAUAUUGCUUCCUUCUCUCUCACUUUUAGCUUCUUCUGCGUCCAAGGUUUGUUCUAGGUACCAUUUUACAUUUUUCUAAUCCGUAUGAUUUUUGAUUUGUAAAUUUUGUAUUGUGAAUUGUGUUUCACAGUGUUCUUGUGUAACUGAUUGCAUUGUGAUGCUUCGUCCAUUUGGAUGAUACCUUGAGCUAUAUACAAGGGGGUCAACUUGCUAUCCUUGAAAUUUUGAAAAACGAGAAGGGGCAUAAAUAUACCUACAUACAUACAUAUCCCUCAUAUACUGAUGUGCUUCUAAAAUUUUCAUACUCUUAAGAAUUAUUAUUGUUGUUGUUAUUAAUUUUGAUUUAUUUAGUUGCUGGUUAAAGGUAAACUUAUUGUGACAGAAGGCUGGUGUGAUGAUUAAGAGGGUUGAUGGAUUGAACAUUGGUGUGAUGAUUUAACACAAGGUCUUCUGUCGUUUUGAUUUUCUGGAUUUGCUUCACACACAACAAUUUUCCUACCAUCUUAUGUGAGCAGAUCAAUUAUCCUAGUUUGGUGCUCUUUUAUAUAUAUAUGUGAAGGUCUUCAUUCUCUCAUUAACUUUUUGUACCCAACUGCAGCCAGGAUUCUUCUUUGCCUCCUGAUUUGAUCGAUGCCCUAACCCAGCUAGCCUCAUCCCAUUUCCCUGCGUCUGCAUACAUGUUUGAAAGAAGUAAAUAUCUAAUAUCCACAAUGUUGGGCUCAGCUGCCUAAGCCCCCAACUCUACUCUACGUUACGAUAGAUUCGACAUGCCCCAGUCGAGCAUAUAUAGCUAACCAGAUCUUAGUAUCUGGUUCAACAGGCAGGUUUUUGAUGAACUACGCUGCAUGCAUCCUCCGUAAGGCCAGCUCGGCUUACGGAGUUCUGCCUUGACAAUAGCAACUAUUUAGUUGCUAUUGACAAAAAUAAUUUUCUUUUUUUCUUUAUAGUUGCUAUUGACAAAAUUACCUUUACAUUGCAAUUAUUUAUAUAUGUUAAUAAAUUUAUAAUUUAUUAUGUAAUAAUAUUAUAUUAUAUUUUUAUUUUUAUUAUAUUAAAAUAUAACUGGAUAAUGGAUUAUUUAAUUAUAUAAUAGUACUUAAUGUAUAAAAAUUUAUUAUUAUUAUUUAAUAAUUUAAUAUAAAUAAUAAUAAAUACAUACAUAUUACUAAAUUUGAAUGAUAGUAAUUUAAAAUUAAUAGUAAUAUAAAUAAUGAUAUAAAAUAUUAUUGCAUCCACCAUAAUUCAAGUUACACCAAAUAUGAUAUUGUAUUACAAUUUAAUAUACUAUAAUACAAUACAAUUCAUUAAGUCAAACGCACCAUAAUGAUAUUAUGAUAAAAGAUAAAAAAUAAAAAAUAAAAUAAGAGUGUCACAUAUUGCAUAACAAAGAUGUCUUGGGAUAUUUUUCUAACGUAUAGGGGUAAAUGGAUGGCUAAUCUGAAAAUUGAAACACAGACAAAUUAAUUAUCAAAAGGCAAUGAACCCACAUCAAUGACCUUAUGCUAAAUGACAAAUUUAAGGGAAGCAUAUUCUGCGUAGAUGCGUCCUUUCCGUUAUGCUAAAUGACAAUAAAAAUGAGAGUGAAUUGUGUUUGUCACAAAGUCACGCCGUCAAUGGGCCGGAGAAAACAGUCUGCGUUUACGUGCGUGUCCGGGAGAAAACCGACACGCCGCACGUGCAACAUUCUUGAUAUUUAGCAUUUUCCUUCAGGUGAAAGCAAACGCGCAUUAGUCAAUGUGAAAACCCAGUAAUCACGGCCAGACCGACUUUUAUGUGCACAUCGACAAAAAAAGUUCAAACAUUAGCAUGUGUUUCAGUGUCUAUAAAUUAUAAUCAACGUUGACGGUCAAUUAGCAGGACCUUUGUUUUUAUUUUUAUUUUUUUAACAGCAACAAUAUUUUGAUGGGUUUUGAAAUAAGAUAAGUGCUCUUUCAAUCGUUGUAGUUUAAGCUAAUCAUCGAUUUAAUCCAUGCAUUCUUAAAAAUUAAUAAUUUUUUUAUUUACAUCAUUAAGAAUAUUAAUAAUUAUUAUUAAUUUAUUUAUUAAAACUAAUAAAGGUUAUUUUAACAAUAUAUUUUUUUAUUCACUUUGUAAUUAAAAAAUUCAAAACAAUUCACUCAUGAUCGAAGACAAAGUAAACACAUAAAUAGAAUUAUGAUUUCUAUUCCAUACUCUCAUUCCAGUGUGAAUAACACAACAUACUUUCAUUUUGUACUUUCAUUCCCACUCCACACUUUCAGUCCCAAAAUACCCAUUCCUCAGAAUUUUCACUCCAAUUUGAGAAGUAAAAAGUUCCUAAAUUUAGUGAAAAAAACCGAUUUAAUUAUAAAUAAAGUGAAACAAGUCAGCUUGAUUGUCAACAUAAAAGUUCAAGACUCAAUCUUAACCACACAUUUCACUUGGAGAUAUUAGGAGAGAAAGAAUCCUAAAAGAGAAUUGUUGUCUUCUUUGGAGUACAUGUUGUAGAACUUUUUUAAAUAGUUAAAUUAUCUAAAAUACCCUUAACUUUUUUAUUUUAUUUUAUAAUUUUAUUUCAUUUAUUACAUAACAUAAAUUAAAAAAAUUAUCUAUUAAAGUAAUUUUAUAAAUUUUAAUAAAAGCUCUCACGCAUUGAAAGCCAAAUGACUCAAAUGUUUUUUAAAAAAAUUCUACUUAUAAAAGCUGUAAAAGUAAAAAUUCUAUUUGAAAAAUUUUACUAACCGGAGUCUAUUCCUUUUUCAUUUUAAGGCAAAUAAAGCAAAUUCAAAAGAAAAAGAAAAAUAAUUAUUCUUAUACAAUCACUUAUGCGAUCACACAACAACAACAACAACAACAACAAUAAUCUACUUUAAUAGUAAAGACACAUAUUUCACAAAUUAAUAAUAUUAGAAUAAUUAUAUGCAAAAUUCAAAAUAAGCCACAAGAUCUAUAUUAUAUAAUUUAUUUGUAAUAUUUUUAUGCCUAAGAUAUCUUGUUGGUAUUUUAUGCUCAAGACAUGAGUGUGGGAAAAAUUCAUGCAGCAGUAGUUAACCAAACGCUGUCGUUUGAGACAGAUCACUAAGAGAAAAAAAUGAGGAAAACAACAAAUACCGCUUGUCAUCACCUUCUUAGAAGAUGAACAAAGGCUCAGAUCAUAACCAAAUCUGAAUCCAGCAGGAUGACAGCAUUAGUUGACCAGCCGCAAUUAAAUUCAUUAAGAUCGGCAAAAUCAAACCAAUAAAGGCAUUUCUCUUGUUAUUAGUAUCCUCUUACUGUUUUAGUACGCGAAUUGGAAAAAUGAAAAAAAAUUUAAAAAUGAUAGAGAUGAUCAGAUGAAUUAUGUCAUGGUCGAUGAUGGGCCAAAUGUAUAAGUGCUUAGUUUCACCUUGAUUUAUUCUUUUGCCAGUUUAAGGCAAAGAGAACAAAUAGCACGACCCAUCGUCAAAAUAAUUCAAAAGCAAAAUCAUUUUUCUUAUACAAUCACACGCUAACAAUAAAAUCUAUUCUAAUAAUAAAGAAAUCUAUUUCUAGAUUACUGAUAUUAAAAUAAUUUUGUCUAAAAUUUAAAAUGACUUGCAAAAUCUAUAUUAUAUAUUCUAUUUAUAAUGUUAUAAUAUUUUACGUAUCUAUUCGCAUAAAUUUCAAAAUAAUUUUUUUAGUUGAUGGAUUUAAAUAUGAAUAAAAUCAGGACAUAUCGAAAAUAGCUUAAUUAGUUUAUUUUUUUUCUCUUAGUAUUAUAUUUGUGUUUAUAAUCUUAUUUAAUAAGUGCUAUGUGCAAACCUUCUAAAAUGAAUGAAAUAAACCCUAACCAAACAAAUUAUAUUAUUAAAAAUUUAUAUUGAUGGUGUGGUAUUUUCAUUUGACCAAUAGUGUUACGUCGUCUUAGAAGAUGAACAAAGGCUCAGAUCAUGACCAAAUCUGAAUCCAGCAGGAUGGCAGCAUUAGUUGACCAGCCGCAAUUAAAUUCAUUAAGAUCGGCAAAAUCAAACCAAUAAAGGUAUUCUCUUGUUAUUAGUAUCCUCUUACUGUUUUAGUACGCGAAUUGGAAAAAUGAAAAAAAAUUCAACAAUGAUAGAGAUGAUAAGAUGAAGGAAAAAUAUCUACCGUCCACCCGUUUUUUUUUAAUUUUUUUUAAAAUACACAAUUCUUUCUUUUUUUGGCUGGAAUCCACCUAAAGUUAUAUUUUGUUUCACUUUUCCACUUCCGUUUGGAAUCCGUUAAGAAAACUAACGGAAACUUAAGAAAAUGACCAUUUUACCCCUCAAAACGAAAAUUACAAUUUCACCUUAAAAAUUACCAAAAAUAAUCAGAUUAAAUCUAAUUAUUUUUCCCAUCGGUCAAUAAAGAAAUUAAUUUCACAACCAUCAAAUGCAUGUUUUUUUUUUAAAUAUGUCUGUAAUUAGAAUGCUAAAUUAUAACAAUAGUAUUAAAAAUAGUCCAAUCUCGCAAACCAUCAAUUGAAUUUAAGAUAAGAAACGCUGUCGUUUGAGACAGAUCACUAAGAGAAAAAAAUGAGGAAAACAACAAAUACCGCUUGUCAUCACCUUCUUAGAAGAUGAACAAAGGCUCAGAUCAUAACCAAAUCUGAAUCCAGCAGGAUGACAGCAUUAGUUGACCAGCCGCAAUUAAAUUCAUUAAGAUCGGCAAAAUCAAACCAAUAAAGGCAUUUCUCUUGUUAUUAGUAUCCUCUUACUGUUUUAGUACGCGAAUUGGAAAAAUAAAAAAAAAAAUUCAACAAUGAUAGAGAUGAUAAGAUGAAUUAUGUCAUGGUCGAUGAUGGGCCAAAUGUAUAAGUGCUUAGUUUCACCUUGAUUUAUUAUUUUGCCAGUUUAAGGCAAAGAGAACAAAUAGCACGACCCAUCGUCAAAAUAAUUCAAAAGCAAAAUCAUUUUUCUUAUACAAUCAAAUGCAUUUCUUACUCUUAACUUAUACAAUCACACGCUAACAAUAAAAUCUAUUCUAAUAAUUAAGAAAUCUAUUUCCAGAUUACUGAUAUUAAAAUAAUUUUGUCUAAAAUUUAAAAUGACUUGCAAAAUCUAUAUUAUAUAUUCUAUUUAUAAUGUUAUAAUAUUUUACGUAUCUAUUCGCAUAAAUUUCAAAAUAAAUUUUUUAGUUGAUGGAUUUAAAUAUGAAUAAAAUUAGGGCAUAUCGAAAAUAGCUUAAUAUUAAAAAAAAGAAUUGCAUGUCAUAUAUCGUUUAUUUUAUUAAUAUUCUAUUUGUAUUUAUAUGUCUAAUAGUUUUUUUUUCUCCUAGUAUUAUAUUUGUGUUUAUAAUCUUAUUUAGUAAGUGCUAUGUGCAAACCUUCUAAAAUGAAUGGAAUAAACCCUAACCAAACGAACUAUAUUAUUAAAAAAUUAUAUUGAUCAUGUGGUAUUUUCAUUUGACCAAUAAUGUUACAUCAAAUUCUCACUUUCUAGCUCCAACGUUACGAAUUAAUUAUCUUUCAAGUAGUUCUUAAAAAAAUUACUUACAACUCUUUUCUAUCAUAUAACUUUAUGAGAAAUUUGACAAACAAUUAAGAUCCAUUUACAUGUUGAUCAUUAUCAGAUAAUUAUAAUCACCAGCUACAUCUUAAUUAUAAGAAAAACAAGCACAAAUUUAAAUCAGCAGUUAAUUUAAAUCUAACUAGUUGGAUAAUUUACCUCUAGUAAACAAAAGCGUGUAACCAUUUAACACACAACCAACUAAUCAAGGUCACUUUCUGGUUCCCUGACCUAGCUAAUAAGCGCAGAAAAAAAUCCUCUCUCUCUACGCACACUGGUUUUAUAUCCCUAUAAACAUCCGAACGCACACUGGUUUUAUAUACCAGACAACAUAUAGACGCACACUGGUUUUAUAUACCAGACAACAUAUAAUUCUUUCAUGUAUUGAUAGCUAGCUAGCAUAAUUUCAUCUUUUUUAGGUAUCAACAAAUUCUUUUUUCUUUUUGCUUUUUAAAUUUAUACUAAAUUUUUUAAUCAACAAAGCACUUGAUGAUGAUUGUAUUGUUUGAUUCUUGUGUUUUAGGGCACACUUGUACUAUUUGAAUCCGAAAAUUAAUAUGGUGGGGGAAAAUUGCUCUGCAGCUGGUUCAUCAUCUAGGGCUCAGCGAAACAUAAAAGAGAAACAUCGAAGAAUGCACAUGAAAGAUCUCAUUUCCCAGCUGGGUUCUGUCAUCCCUUGCAAUUCCAAGGUUCUUGAAUAUUGGUUAUAUAUAUAUAUAUAUCUUUUUGUAUAUAUGAAAGAAAGCAAUGCUAAAACUAACUGGGAUACUACUAGUUUUAAUAAAUUCUAGCAAGCAUGUAACGGUGUUUGCCAGAGCCACCACACGAUCAAGUCUAAGUAACCUGGAUUGUGUUUUUCUAAAUUCUGUGAGUUAAACGUUAUAAAGUUGCUAACAAGCUACUGCUCGCCCGAAUCUGAAUCUAAUCUGAUGCUGGUAUUCCAAAGUCAACGAAAUUAUCGAUGAUUGUGGGUCUGACAUGAAACUUAUUGAUGCAGCUGUCAAUGCCACAGAUAUUGGAUGAAGCCACCAGUUAUAUAAUGCAUUUGCAGAAGAAUAAGGAAAGUCUUGAGAGAAAGAAAGCACUCUUGAAAGGAGAUGAUCACCCUGAGCCAACAGUAAUGAACAUAUCAACUUCGGGUUCUACUUUGGAGGUGAAUUUGAUUUGUGGGUUGAAUAGAAACUUUAUGUUUCAUGAAAUAAUCAGUGUUCUUGAGGAAGAAGGGGCUGAAGUUAUUAAUGUCACACGAUUCAAUUCGGGUGAUCGGGUCAUCUUCUCUGUUCAGUCCAAGGUAUAUAUACACAUCUUCAUGUUUCUGUCCAAUUUGUUUUUUUUUUUUUGCUUUAUGAUUUUUUUUUUUGGGUGACAGUAAAAUAAGAGAAAUUAAAUUGAAGAAGAAUAAGAAACCAAAUUGCUUUUCCGCUAAAACUAUCGAUAUCGGCUCUCCCGCAUUUAAUUUUCUUGCAUAAAAUUUCUCUACCCUUGAAUAUAUAUAUAAUUAAUAAAAAUUAAUUGGUUUUCAAUUAAUUUGCUAAAGAGUGAAUAGGGAGUAUAAUAAUUUAAAACUUUGCUUUGAAAAUAAUUUAAAAAUUUGCUUUGAAUCUUAAUUAUGUUAUCCUAAAAGGAUGUUAGUAUAUUUUUAAUGUACUGAAAACUUAAAAAAAAUAAAAAUAAAGACUUUAAUAUAUCAUUUUUUUAAUUUUUAGUUCACAAUGGAGUUUUUACUUCUUCUUUUUUCCAAAAAAAAUUAUUUUAGCUCCAUCCAUGGUCCAAGCCUGGCUCAAGUCAGUUCUCAUUUGACUAAAAAGCUAAAGGAAAAUGCUAAAUAUCAAGAAGAAUGAGAGAAAAUUGAGAGAAUAAAGCAUGUGCUGAGAGAAGAAAGAGAGAUAAAAAGCUAACAAAAGAAAGAGAGGAAGCAAAACGAUAGCUUAAAUUGUAGUUUCUCUCAGCUUUCUCUCAUUCUUUUAGUCAUUUAGAAGCACUCAAAGAUAAAAAGGUUAUUAAUCCUGAGUUUUUGAGAAAAUUCCUCGUUUUAACAUUUGAAAUUCUUCUUCCCUGCUUUUGUUAUUUUUUCCUCUAUUCAAUGCUUGAGAAAUGAAAUUAGUUACAAGAUUAAUAGUCCUCAUGUAUAUAGAUUGAUAAGGAUGGUAGAAUACAUGAAAAGGAUGCAUGGGUUUUAACACGGACAUACAUAUAGUCCAUACAUAUGUGAUGAUAAUUGCAUGCCAUGGACUGCCUUAUCUUGGCCGGUGGUGCUGACUUUCGAAAAUUAACAAAAGUUAUGCACGUACGUCUUUUACUCUUUUUGCAGGCCAUCAAUUCAAGAAUUGGUGUGGAAACAGAAAGAGUUCAAGAGCGACUGAAAGACGUGAUCCUCUGAUGUUGAUGCAUUAACAAUUCGUCAGACGAAAUAUGCAUGCAUGAUACAACAAUUUAUAUGAGUCUACAUAUAGAUUUCAUCCCAAAAAACUUAAAUGAACGAAUAGUAAUGAUAUUAAAACACUUCUGAACCCACCUAGGCCAAACAUAUUUGGAAAAGAAUUUGGCUUGAGUGAUGUUCUGGUGGAGUUUUAUGGUGACAUGAGUAUUUGUUAUU